rnacentral:tRNA from 1 species
GCCUUCGUGGUGUAAUGGGCAGCACACUCGGCGGGUAUUCGAGAGGUCCAAGGUUCGAGUCUUGACGAAGGCA